rnacentral:misc_RNA from 1 species
CCAAUAGCGUAUAUUAAAGUUGUUGCAGUUAAAAAGCUCGUAGUUGAAUUUCGGGGUUAGUAAGUUGGUUGUGCCACUGGUAUGUACUGGCUUUACUGAUUCCUCCUUCUUGUAGAACCGUAAUGCCAUUAAGUUGGUGUUGCGGGGAAACAGGACUGUUACUUUGAAAAAAUUAGAGUGUUUAAAGCAAGCUAACGCUUGAAUACAUUAGCAUGGAAGAAUGAAAUAGGACGUUCGAUCCUAUUUUGUUGGUUUCUAGGAUUGACGUAAUGAUUAAUAGGGAUAGUUGGGGGCAUUAGUAUUCAAUUGUCAGAGGUGAAAUUCUUGGAUUUAUUGAAGACUAACUACUGCGAAAGCAUUUGCCAAGAAUGUUUUCAUUAAUCAAGAACGAAAGUUAGAGGUUCGAAGGCGAUCAGAUACCGCCCUAGUUCUAACCAUAAACGAUGCCGACCGGCGAUCCGCUGUCGUUACUUGAAUGACUCAGCGGGCAGCCUCCG